AAUCAGACGAAGAAAGGGCAUCUGGUGAAUGCCUUGGCAUUGGGAGGCGAGGAAGGACGUGGCACACUGCGAAAAGCCAUGGGGAGCCGUGAGCGGGCUUUGAUCCGUGGAUAUCCGAAUGGGGAAACCCCACCGUGAGGUGAUCACAUGCUGAAUACAUAGGUGUGUGAGGCGAACCCGGGGAACUGAAACAUCUAAGUACCCGGAGGAAAGGACAUCAAAAGAGACUCUGUGAGUAGUGGCGAGCGAAAGCGGAUGAGGCCAGUGGCUGCUUCUAAAUAACCGGAACCGUCUGGGAAGGCGGGCCAGAGCGGGUGAGAGCCCCGUACGGGUGAACCGGGAGCAGUCCUUGAGUAGGGCGGGACACGAGAAAUCCUGUCUGAACAUGGGGGGACCACCCUCCAAGCCUGAGUACUCCCCAGUGACCGAUAGUGAACCAGUACCGUGAGGGAAAGGUGAAAAGAACCCCGACGAGGGGAGUGAAAAGAACCUGAAACCGGAUGCCUUCAAGCAAUGGGAGCCCUUUUGUGGGGUGACCGUGUACCUUUUGUAUAAUGGGUCAGCGAGUUGGUGUGUGCAGCGAGCCUAAGCCGUGAGGUGGAGGCGUAGCGAAAGCGAGUCUGAACAGGGCGUUCAGUUGCACGUAUCAGACCCGAAACCGGAUGAUCUAUCCAUGGCCAGGCUGAAGGUGGGGUAACACCCACUGGAGGGCCGAACCCGUGCCUGUUGAAAAAGGCUGGGAUGAGUUGUGGAUAGGGGUGAAAGGCCAAUCAAAUCCGGAAAUAGCUGGUUCUCCGCGAAAUCUAUUUAGGUAGAGCGUCGUAUGAAUACCGGUGGGGGUAGAGCACUGGACCGGCGAGGGGGGCGCGAGCCUUGCCAAGCCUGACCAAACUCCGAAUACCAUCGAGUAGUGUACGGCAGGCAGACAUCGGGUGCUAAGGUCCGGUGUCGAGAGGGAAACAGCCCAGACCGCCAGCCAAGGUCCCCAAAUCAUGGCUCAGUGUGAAAGGAUGUGGGAAGGCCAUAACAACCAGGAGGUUGGCUUAGAAGCAGCCAUCCUUUAAAGAAAGCGUAACAGCUCACUGGUCUAUAUAAGCCGUCCUGCGCCGAAAAUGUAACGGGGCUAAAGCCAUGUACCGAAGCUGCGGGUGUAACCUGUGCGCUGCACGGGUUAUGCGGUAGCGGAGCGUUCUGCGAGCCGAUGAAGGGGCGGGGUCACCUGUCCUGGAGGAUGCAGAAGUGCGAAUGCUGACAUGAGUAGCGAAAAACAGGGUGAGAAACCCUGUCGCCGAAAGUCCAAGGGUUCCUGCGCACGGUUAAUCCGCGCAGGGUAAGCCGGUCCCUAAGGUGAGGCCGAGAGGCGCAGCUGAUGGGAACCACGUUAAUAUUCGUGGGCCUGCGGGAGGUGACGGAUCCUGAAGUGUGUACAUCCUUAAUGGAUUGGAUGUGCUGCAGAAGGGUUCCAGGAAAGAGCCCCCGCGUACAGACCGUACCCUAAACCGACACAGGUGGACAGGUCGAGCAGACCAAGGCGCUUGGGAGAAUGGUGUUGAAGGAACUCGGCAAAUUGCCCUCGUAACUUCGGGAGAAGAGGGCCCUGCGUGUGCGCAAGCGCAUGCGGGGGGCACAGACCAGGGGGUAGCGACUGUUUAUCAAAAACACAGGGCUCUGCGAAGCCGCACAAGGCGACGUAUAGGGUCUGACGCCUGCCCGGUGCCGGAAGGUUAAAGGGAGAUGUGCAAGCAUUGAACUGAAGCCCCGGUAAACGGCGGCCGUAACUAUAACGGUCCUAAGGUAGCGAAAUUCCUUGUCGGGUAAGUUCCGACCUGCACGAAUGGCGUAACGACUUCCCCGCUGUCUCCAGCACCAACCCAGCGAAAUUGAACUCUCCGUGAAGAUGCGGAGUUCCCGCGGUCAGACGGAAAGACCCUAUGAACCUUUACUGCAGCUUUGCACUGGUGCCAGGGAUUACAUGUGUAGCAUAGGUGGGACCCUUUGAAGCCGCGGCGCCAGCCGUGGUGGAGGGAUCAGUGAAAUACCACCCUUGUGUUCUCUGGCUUCUAACUCCGUCCCGUUUCCGGGACGAGGACCCUGCAUGGCGGGCAGUUUGACUGGGGCGGUCGCCUCCCAAACGGUAACGGAGGCGCGCGAUGGCAGGCUCAGGACGGUCGGAAAUCGUCCGGUGAGUGCAAUGGCAUAAGCCUGCCUGACUGCGAGACGUACAUGUCGAGCAGAGACGAAAGUCGGCCAUAGUGAUCCGGUGGUUCCACGUGGACGGGCCAUCGCUCAACGGAUAAAAGGUACUCUAGGGAUAACAGGCUGAUGACUCCCAAGCGUCCACAGCGACGGAGUCGUUUGGCACCUCGAUGUCGGCUCAUCACAUCCUGGGGGUGGAGCAGCUCCCAAGGGUUCGGCUGUUCGCCGAUUAAAGUGGUACGUGAGCUGGGUUCAGAACGUCGUGAGACAGUUCGGUCCCUAUCUGCCGCGGGUGUUGGAAUAUUGAGAGGAUCUGUCCCCAGUACGAGAGGACCGGGAUGGACGCACCUCUGGUGUACCGGUUGUGGCGCCAGCCGCAUCGCCGGGUAGCUAAAGUGCGGACCAGAUAAACGCUGAAAGCAUCUAAGCGUGAAACUGACCUCAAAACAUGUAUUCCCUGAAGAGCCGUCACAGACCAUGACGUUGAUAGGAGGCAUGUGGAAGCGCGGUAACGCGUGAAGCUGAGCCUUACUAAUCGCUCGUACGAGCCUGAUUGA
rnacentral:rRNA from 1 species